UGCGGUUAACGUUUGUAGUCGAAUCUCGAGGGGGGUUUCGGAAUGAUAAAAAAGGAAGACACCACCUCGAUUUCUCUGGUUAUGGACAGCGGACUUGUCCACGUGCAUAUCCAAAGAGAUGUUACUGUGAAUAAAUUAGGGUGUUUAAGGCAAGCUGGUCUGGAAUAUGUUAGCAUGGAAUAAUUUUAGUAUAGGCUUUCAGUGUCGUACUGAUAGAAAAUACGAUUAAAAGGAACAGUCGGGGGCAUUCGUAUUCCGAAGUUAGAGGUAAAAUUCUUAGAUCUUCGGAGGACGAACAACUGCGAAGGCAUUUGUCCAGUAUGUUUUCAUUGAUCAAGAACGAAAGUUAGGGUUUCAAAGUCGAUUAGACACCGUUGUAGUCCUUGCCGUAAACGAUGCCGACCAAGGGUUGGACGUGUGGAGGAUUCGAGCCGUCUCAGAGCUUAGCGAGAAAUCAGAGUUUUUGGGUUCCGGGGGGAGUAUGGUCGCAAGGCUGAAACUUAAAGGAAUUGACGGAAGGGCACCACCAGGCGUGGAACCUGCGGCUUAAUUUGACUCAACACGGGGAAACUUACCAGGUCCUGACAUAACGAAGAAUGACAGACUAAACGAUCUUUCACGAUUUUAUGGGUGGUGGUGCAUGGCCGUUCUUAGUUGGUGGGUUGCCCUGUCAGGUCGACUCCGGUAACGAACGAGAUCUUUGUUUGCUAACUAGACAUGUCGUCUGUCGAAAAAUAUCACCAGAACAUAUUCAAUGUCUUCUUAGAGAUACGGCUGCCAACGUGCAAACAAGGCAGAGGAAGUAAAAGCCAAUA
rnacentral:rRNA from 1 species